CAAUGGGGCCUUCAUGGCCUUGUGGGCCGCCAUGCCGGCCACCGCAGCGUUCGUUGGGGACGUCAGCAGCCUCCGUUACGGCAGUUGGAGCACAGCUCUGCCAGCUGAGCCGUCAUCGGAUCACGCUCAGAGAGAAGAGUCCGGAGAAGACAGCGCCGCAUCGAGUGCAAGAAGGAAGAGGAGGUUCAGAGAACCCCUGAGGAUGGCUCUGCCGCCCAAAAAAUAGCGGCCCCCUGUCGGGAGCAGCAGCACCUCCUGCAGGCAAGAGGAGCCCAUGGACGUUGACCCACCCUGGCAAGAGGAGGAGCCCAUGGAGGUGGAUCCGCCUCGGGAGAAGGAGGAGCCCAUGGACGUGGAUCCACCUCAGGCAGGGCUGCUGGGGCACAACACCAGCAUGGCCGGAAUGCCUCCAGCGCUGUGGUGCCCGAAGCGCCGCAGGACAGCCGGGGGCUCUCCCAGAGCCCACAAACAGGCGCCUGGCCACAAGCGGCGCCACCCCUGCAGCCGCCACUAGCCGGAAGGGGCAGCACAGCCACCUCCAGGGGAUGGGCUGGACCAGCAGCUGCUGUGGAGCCACAGGUGAGCCCGGCUUCCCAGCCCGCACAACCGGCCCUCCUGCCGGGGCAUCUCCUCUGCCCUGCGGCCUGGGGAAGAGGCGAGGAGAGUCGCUGCCAUCUUCUGGUCGGCAGCCCCAGAGCACCGGGAGGAGUCCUUAGGAGCCACCACAGACCGCGGGACAGCGCCACAGACCCCAGGACACCCGAGGACACCGCUGGAGCUGGAGCUGGAGCUUGCCUUCAAGGGAAAAGGCUCAUGACCUUCCAAGAGCUAUUGUAGCAGCUCACACAUUUCUUCUGAAGGAUCCAGAUGCUGAAAUGAUGCAAAGAAAUGCGGCCUACCGUCGGAGCAGACCUGAUGCUGAGGAGCAAAUUAAAGCCUUGGAGACAAAACCUUAUGAUGUUUGGUCAUGAAUUCGUGACUGGGCUGCUGGAAGAAGGACUAUUUUGUAGCCCUUUAGCAACCAUAUCAUCAGCUUGGAGCCAAACAACUGCCAGCUGUUCAAACACGCUUUGCCUGCUUAAUGCUACUGCAUUAAAGAAAAUUGGUAUUUUGAGUUGUAGAGUCAUUGCACAUUGUGUGAUGCUGGGCUGGGCACAGGAGCCCUUCGCUGUGACCAGGGCAGGGAGAUGCAACGCUGGGCUUGACUCGCUGCGGAGCUGCAGGGCUGCUGUGUCAUCGUGCAGCAGAGGGGGAUGAAGUGCCAGCUGGGGCAGUGACAGUGACUGUGCCAGUCAGCGCAGGGCAGGCAGAUCGCAGGAACAACCACAAAGCCACACAUGAAAUGCAAAGAGUGCAUGUAUUUUCGUUACCUCGCCAGCCACAGCAUCCCCAAAGCAGCACCAGGGUAUUGGCACAGAAGCUGUGACGCAGGCUUACGUGAUGGCUGGGAACCCUGAUCUUCAACUCAAAGAGUUGCUUCACGGGCAGGGGGUUUAGGUCCCUUAGAAAGAGGUGACCUCUUGUGCAUUGAGACCCCACUCCUUUAGUCACUUAACUGAGAAGCUCCAGAAAGCCGCCCGUCUGCACCCAACGCAUGACUGACAUUUGGUUCCUCAGCAGAGUUCCCCGCUGCUGUUAAUUGCCAACCCCGACAGAAUGACUCCCCUACUCUAGGGCCUGCCUGAUUCCCUGCAGCUUCGUGCUGUACAGCUGCAAGAUCAUCUGCCCGAUGCUUUAGCCCCUAAAGAUGGGGGGUGGACUGGAGAUGCAGCAGCAUCGACCUGGGGGCAAGAGGUGCAAAAACUGGGUGGAUGUGGGAGACGGAUGGGGUCGAUUGGCCCUAAUGCUGAACAAAAGACCACGGUGAGGUGGGCUGAAAAUCAUGAGGGGCCACCUUCUGCUCCAUGAGCCUCAAGGGCCAAGAGAAACCUACUGUGGCUGGAGGGAAUAAAAAAGGGAUCUCAUGGACUGUAUGCCCACUGGGGCUGUGGAAGAGAUUGUUGGAGCUUGGGAAACAAAGGGAAUAUAACUUCCUUGAUCUUCAGAGGGGAAAUUGGACGUGCUGUUCCCAGUAAGUGAGCCAGGGGACGACCAGUGGUCCCAUUUAAGAAUUCUCGUGGAAAAUAAGAUAAGGGACUUGUUGAUUACUUUUCCCCUUGGCCCCUUUUAAACCCCAGUCAAACCAGUCAGGUAAGGGAAGCCAGUUUGCUGCUGGGGUGGUUCAAGACUAGGCCAAAAAUGAAGGAAUUCAAUGGGUUUUCCACACUCCCUAGUAUCCCCAAACCAAUGGGUUGUAAAGCAAUCAAACAUGCUCCUGAAAAAAAAAGUGCUUAAACCUCAUGAGCCUGGAUGGGUGUCACAAUUAUGGGAUACUGUUUUCCAUGUUAACAGUCUAUGGGCGGCCAGUGGUUGUCCCCAACUUAACCGCUUUCUGUCCCCAAGCCCCCUCUAUUCUUCCAGGGAAGAAGGAGAACAAGGACCCAUGGCCCCGCUCCACUACACCAGACAACCUGUCGUCACAGAACUACCCACCCUUGGCACUGUAUAUGUCUUGGGAGAAAUAAAUUUGCAAGUUUGACAAGUGUGAAAGAUGACUUUGCAAAAUCUGUUGGCUUUAGGACUGAUGACCUCUUCAUCUCACUCUUCCUCCUUUCUCUUCAAGUUGUUAGGCAGCGUAAGGCUUACCCCACUGUAAAGUUGGUGUUUGGGUGAAUCCGUGUAGCUUAUUGAGGUAAGUGCAUCAUUUGGGUUAAGACAUAAUUCUUAGAGGCUCAACAGACUUUUUGUUUUAACAUUGUAAGCAUGUUAAGCUUUUGUAACGAUUGAUGCAAGGCUUGAUUCAAAAGGGACUGCAACUCAUUGCAGGACCAUGUAUUAAACAGAUUGCCAACUUGUAACUUGUACCGUGUGUGGUUUCACCUGAACGAAGUUUCCAAGCCUCAGCCGCUCGUUUCCCCUCUAAUUUAUGGGGACGGGACACCCCGUGGCCCCUGCGCAGCAGCCUGAGGACGCCAGGCCCUCUCCUCCCCUCUGUCCCUCUGGGCUCUUGCCGGCUGUGGGGACAACACCACUGACAGGGAGCCGAGCAGCUGGAGGGUCACGGAGACCCCCCGAACCUCCUGGGACACUGUGGCCGCUAUCCCGUGAGGGGACCCCAGUCCUGGCACCAUGAAGGGGAUGGAGCCCCGGGCACUCAGGAGCAGCUCUGCCUGAGGUGCCUGAGGUGCAGCAUUUCUCACUGAAGAGCAAAAUGUCCCCACAAUGGGGCCUUCAUGGCCUUGUGGGCCACCAUGCCGGUCACCGCAGCGUCCGUUGGGGACUUUACCAGCCUCCGUUAUGGCAGUUGGAGCACAGCUCUGCCAGCUGAGCCACCGUUGGUUCAUCCCUGGAGAGAAGAGUUCAGUGAAGACAGUGCCACAUCAAGGCAAAGAAGCAAGAGGAGGUUCAGGGAACCUCAGAAGAUGGCUCAACUGCCCAGAAAAUGGCAGCUGCCUGUUGCGAGCAGCAGCAGCAGCUCCCACAGCAUUGCUAAUUUGGUCGUUUCUUCUCAUAACUGGUAUUCUGUUAUUCAUAUACUGUUUAUAUAAACGGUGUUCUCUUGCUUGUAUUUCUAUCAAUAUGUGCAAGUAUAAGAUUAUACAGAAUACAUCACUGUAAAAUCUUUUAACCUUGCAGAACCAUUUAUUGCAAAUAGAUUACACCUGGAUGCAUUCUCAGCAUAAAAGGGAAUAAAAUGUCUCUACUUUUACAUAUCAAGUACCUUUAAUAAAUGUGAAGAAAGGCACCACUCUUGAUGGCUGCUGAAUCAAUUUCUUUAUCCAAAUUUAUCUAUAUACGUACAAAUUAUUAUGAAAUGCAAUGUGUUUUAUAUCUACAUUUCACUAAUUAAAAAAUCCUUUAAUGUUUCUAAUGCAUGUGAGCUUGAUCUGUUGCAUCCAACCCUGUUUUUAGAAAGUUGCAGUCCACAGCAAUACUGAUGACAUAACUGUCUUUUCCAAUAAAAAGAUGGCCGCACAAAACAAAGAUUCUCCCCUGCAGUGUUAUUUCCUGGAAAGAAGGGAAAACUCCUGGACAAAAACCUGGAAAUAAUGUUUCUUUUUCUCUUGUAAAGCCUCUACGAGCUACAGUGGGUCAGACACUAUUUUAAAAUUUUCAUAGAUACAUUUUUCCUUCUCUCUAUAGUGCAAUGGUUCAGGAUUGCUAAACUGAACACUAAGAAUGAGAACAGCACAGUGUUUUAGCUUGGCUGACAACCAGAUGAACACUGACAAAAUAUCUCACGCAUCUGAAGGCCUUUUGUCAGGGUAUGCUCUUCUUAUGUAUCUUCACUUCCAGCAUCCAGUUUCUACAUUUUGAGGGCCAAAGGAAUUUCUGAAUUUCAUCCUUUCCAGGAUAUCUUUUGCGUGAUGAGAGAGGCAGUAUUUUCUUACAUGCCGGCGUUUCUUGCCAUGCAGAGCCACAGAUGACUUUCAUGGUCCCUUCCAACGCCUUCCCAUCCCCCAAAAAAACACUUUGGGCCCUUUUUCCCAGGCGAUGAGGGGCGCAGCCACGGGGUGCAGGCAAGGGGACCCACCAGCCCUCCCCGCCACCGGCCCAGCAUGCACCCGGGGAGGCUCACGGACACCAGCUCCCAGGCUCCUGCCGCUCUGUCCAUCACCCAGCCUCUGGUCUGCACCCGCCAGAAAUCGGCUGAUCCCCUCCCCCCAAAAAAAGCAUUUCCCAUGAGUUUAUCGGUAGGAUAAGCACAAAGGACCAGCGUCCUGGUUGUACCCAUUCAUGGUGAGAGACCACCAAGUUUCUGAGCAGCUUGAAAGAUCCCACUCUACUCAGUGCUUGCCACAGCACACGUGGAAUAUUGUGUUCAGUUUUCAUCCCUGCUAUACAUAAAAGGUGCAGGCAGACUGGAGAAGGUCCAGAAAAGUGCCACAAAGAUGAGCAAAGGACUGGGAAGUUGCCAUGUGAGGAAAGGCUGAGGAAACUGGGCUUGUUCAGCCUUGAGAAAAGAAGGCUUAGGGGAGACCUUAUCACCCUGUUCCAGUAUUUAAAGGGUGGCUAUGAAGAAGAUGGAGACUUCCUUUGUAAAAGGAGUCAUGUGGAAAUGAGAAGGGGUGAUGGGUACAAGUUACUCCUGGGGAGAUUCAAUCCGAAAUAACAGGGAAUUUUUUCACUAUGAGAACAAUCAGCCAUCGGAAUAAUCUCCCCAGGCAAGUGAUUGAUUCCCCAACAUUGGACAGUUUUAAGAUUCAUCUGGAGAGGGUGCUGGGCCAUCUUGUCUAAACUGUGUUUUGCCAAGAAAGGUUGGACCAGAUGAUCCUUGUGGUCCCUUCCAACCUGGUAUUCUAUGAUUCCAUGAUUCUAUGAUCCUUACUGCAUACCACUGCACACUCUGAGUGUGCCUCUGAUAUAUUUUAUAUCCCACUAGAGCCAAAAGGGGCUUUGCAGGGGACCCGUAUGAUGGAGUAGAUGCUAUGCCAGCACAGGUCCUGAACAGCAGCUUCAAAAAGAGCAUCUCAGGUUAGAGUAACUCACCUGACUAGAUUCAACUGAA